rnacentral:tRNA from 1 species
CUCCCCAUAGCUCAAUGGCAGAGCAAUCGGCUGUAACCCGAUGUGUGCUGGUUCAAAUCCGGCUGGGGAGA